UACGUAGGUGGCAAGCGUUGUCCGGAUUUAUUGGGCGUAAAGCGCGCGCAGGCGGUUCUUUAAGUCUGAUGUGAAAUCUUGCGGCUCAACCGCAAGCGGUCAUUGGAAACUGGGGGACUUGAGUACAGAAGAGGAAAGCGGAAUUCCACGUGUAGCGGUGAAAUGCGUAGAGAUGUGGAGGAACACCAGUGGCGAAGGCGGCUUUCUGGUCUGUAACUGACGCUGAGGCGCGAAAGCGUGGGGAGCAAACAGG
rnacentral:rRNA from 1 species